CUACCAGUGCAGGUGCCCAGCAGCUACAUGGAGCGCUGAAGGACCACAAGACCACUCACUGACUCAGUUGAUGGAGAGCAGACAUCUCCUUCAAGCAGGAUGAGAUGGCAGUAGUAGUUUCCCAUCCUAUCAGCUCAAAUGAAUUAGGGUGGGAGGAGGUAAAGCAAUUGGAAUGGGCAGUUUUCAAGGCUGCGCUGAGUAUAAGGGGAGUAAGGAGAGACAUUCUCAAAACAGAGUGAGAGGAGCUGGGACCAGACCAGCAUCACUCCAGCAGGCUGCACAAGUUGGUAUCCUGCCUCCAGGAGAAGCCAGGAGGAGAUGCUGAAGGAGAAAAUAGAAAGAAGGAGGAGAUCCUCAUUCUCCUGGAGGAUCAGCUCUCACUGCAGUGUGAAACCCCGCCGGCUAGUUAACAGCGGCUGGUCAUUUCCUCGUUUCACAACAUGUUGCCACUUCUCGGUUGCCCCAGAUCUUUCUCACUCUCCUGUAAGUCAGCUGUCUAAGUGGUUUAGCAGGAAGGGCCAAACCUGUGAUGCACUUAACCCGAGAGGACACCUCAUCCUCGAAAGUGGUGCAUUUCUGAGGUGUCCCUGGAGGGCAGUGACUCAUGUUUCCCCUGGCUCUGAUGUGGUGCAGGACCUUCCACGUGAAGUUAUCACGCCGUUUCUGCGGGGGUCUGCCUUCCAUCUUACCCUGGAAAACCUGCUUCUUGGACGUACAAGGAAUCCCCUGCAGAAAACUGUAUCGCAAAUAUGAGAGCCUGUCACUUACAGAGAUCUUAACUGCUGUAAAUGCAAUCUUUUGCAAGGAGAGCUGACCAUUAAUGCUUGAAUUGUACAAGUCUUGUUGUAAAUCUUCAAAUGGAGCUGAGUAGCAUGUUUAGACCAAAGCAAGAAAAAAAUGUAACAUCAACAUAUUGCAAAACUUGCACUGAUUAUGCUACACUGUUCCUAAUUAAAACUGCAAAUUUUCAACAUUUUUUACUUUUUCUCUUAUUAAUCUAAUGGUAGGUUUGCCUGUAUGCUGUCCAGGACUAGACAGUCUGUACUUGUCCAGGUUAUGGAGAAACAUUAUUUCUGUAUCAAAUGAGCUCAGUAUCUCCACAAGUGAGAGAGACUAUAUUUACUAGUCUGGAUUCUUCUAUGCAUACUACGGCCUUUUCUUCACGGGAGCCUAAUCCUAAUCAGUUUAGUCAAUGGGAAUGGUGUCAUUAAAUUCAAUGAGAGCAGGAUCAGACCGUGAGUUAUUUUAGCCAAGCUAACGUGCCACAAAAAAAUGUGUUGAAUCAUUUAUUAAAACAAAAAGAAAAAGAAAAAGAAAGAAAACAUAUGGUUAGAUAAUCACUGGGAAUUACUAAAUACCUGCAGAGGAUAGUUGCAAGCAUGGAUAUUUGAAUUUUCACCACAGAUUUCUUGGGUGUUUUUUGCCCAGCUGCUCUGUCUGGACAAAAAAUUUGGAUGAUGAUCACUCAGGUAAUGUAAUCUGAAAUCAUGUCGCCUGUCUUGCAAACUGAGGCGAAGGAAGAGAAUACUUCAUUCCUGCCUAACAAAACACAAAUCAAAGUUCACAGUUGCAGCAUUUCUUUCUAAGCAGCACAGCUGCCUGUAACGCAGCUAACUAUGUGGGGGGGGGGGGCUACAUUCACUGAAAUUAUUGCUGUUCUGACAAAGUACUAAGAUAUGGGGUUGCGGAGGGAGGUUGUGCUUUUCCAUGACUGAGGAGCAUAAAAGCAACCAGUGUUCCCGUAAAACAGUAGAAACUGCAUGACCCAUUCACGCUGGGUAACACUAACGCACUGCCGUGCUGAUCUGGUGAUCAAAGCCAAGCCAUGUGUAUUGAAGAUGGGCCAGUGCAGAUCGUAUCAAAACUCUCCGGAUGGAUUAAACACCAUCACUGAUUAUUUUCUUUACUGCAUUAGCAUUUAGCCUCUAAAAAUUGGUGGAAAUGUGAAAAAGCUGGAAGUGGCCACUGCGUCCUUCAGUAAACUGCUGUCCAUUUCACAACAAGCUAAUAAAUGCAUUUGUCUGUUAAUUCCA
ensembl:lncRNA